CAUUGCACCAUGAAUAUGGAGGGUGAGCUUUAAAAUAGUAUGAAAGACAAAUGUUUAAAGGUAUACAUUUCUUUCAGAGAACCAUGCACACAUAAGUGCACACACACACUUCUCUUGGAAACUGAAGGAGGCAAGAAUAUGAUGCCAUUAACAAAUGCUCUUUGGUGGACAGCAAUUGGUUCCUCCCCUCUCAUGUCAUGUAAUCAGCACAAAUUUCCUGAAGUAAGGCUGCAUGCAUAUAACAAGAAUAAAGGAAUAAAAAUAGAGGAUGCCGUGAAAUGGGAGA
rnacentral:lncRNA from 1 species